AGGACGAACGCUGGCGGCGCGCCUAACACAUGCAAGUCGAACGGACUUACAGAGCUUGCUUGUAAGUUAGUGGCGGACGGGUGAGUAACACGUGAGCAACCUGCCUUUCAGAGGGGGACAACAGUUGGAAACGACUGCUAAUACCGCAUAACGUGGCUUGGGGGCAUCCCCGGGCUACCAAAGAUUUAUCGCUGAAAGAUGGGCUCGCGUCUGAUUAGAUAGUUGGUGAGGUAACGGCCCACCAAGUCGACGAUCAGUAGCCGGACUGAGAGGUUGAACGGCCACAUUGGGACUGAGACACGGCCCAGACUCCUACGGGAGGCAGCAGUGGGGGAUAUUGGACAAUGGGGGGAACCCUGAAUCCAGCGACGCCGCGUGAGGGAAGAAGGUUUUCGGAUUGUAAACCUCUGUUGACAGGGAAGAAGAUGACUGUACCUGUUCAGAAAGCCACGGCUAACUACGUGCCAGCCGCAGC
rnacentral:rRNA from 1 species